UACGAAGGGGGCUAGCGUUGUUCGGAUUUACUGGGCGUAAAGCGCACGUAGGCGGAUCGUUAAGUCGGGGGUGAAAUCCUGGAGCUCAACUCCAGAACUGCCUUCGAUACUGGCGAUCUUGAGUCCGGAAGAGGUGAGUGGAACUCCUAGUGUAGAGGUGGAAUUCGUAGAUAUUAGGAAGAACACCAGUGGCAGAGGCGGCUCACUGGUCCGGUACUGACGCUGAGGUGCGAAAGCGUGGGGAGCAAACAGG
rnacentral:rRNA from 1 species